GGCUGUCCACCACUCCAUGUGUGUCCCUCCAGAAGCUUAAAGCUCAGUGGAAGAGGACGACCUUCCCAGAAUAGAGGAGAACCAGUCUUUGGUCAAAGGCAUACGAGUAGCUCUGCUUCCAUCCUAGAACCUCCACACAAGCUUUGGGAUUUUAUGGGUGCAGCUUCCCUGUCAUAUUUAGAAGACAGUAUGUUGAAGUCAAUGUCUUAGUCCUAAGGCUCAUACAGUCUCAUCACAUU
rfam:Rattus norvegicus chromosome X, whole genome shotgun sequence.